rnacentral:rRNA from 1 species
AAACCAGCACCUCAAGUGGUCAGGAUGAUUAUUGGGCCUAAAGCAUCCGUAGCCGGCUCUGUAAGUUUUCGGUUAAAUCCACUAGCUCAACUAGUGGGCUGCCGAAAAUACUGUAGAACUAGGGAGUGGGAGAGGUAGACGGUAUUCGGUAGGAAGGGGUAAAAUCCUUUGAUCUAUUGAGGACCACCUGUGGCGAAGGCGGUCUACCAGAACACGUUCGACGGUGAGGGAUGAGAGCUGGGGGAGCAAACCGGAUUAGAAACCCGAGUAGUCC